rnacentral:misc_RNA from 1 species
UGGUUUGUAAGUGUUCAAGGCAAAAAGCUUAUUCCUAUGAACCCAAUCUUUCACCAAAGAAUUCUUUAUAAAACUGGCAAGAGCUUUUUGCCUUGAACACUUACAAACCAAUAUAUACAAGAAAUGACAACAAAACAGAAAUACUAAUUACAUGGGCCACACACACGAAAAGGAGCAUUACUCUAGCAACUCCUCUUUGGUAUUAAAGUGAUUCCAAGUCAACUGCCCUGAAUAUUUUUAGAUCCUUCACAUGCCCAUGGUAGUCUCCUGAUUAGAUACCAGCUUCAGACUAUAAUCAUGGAGAUCAGGCUUAAACUUCUUCAUGGCUCCCUUGUUGAGACUUCCCCAUGUCAUCUCAAGGCAAGUUUAGCUUGGCCUGUUCCAAUAGAUCCUCACAAC